rnacentral:rRNA from 1 species
CCUACGGGAGGCUGCAGUGAGGAAUAUUGGUCAAUGGGCGUAAGCCUGAACCAGCCAAGUCGCGUGAGGGAUGAAGGUUCUAUGAAUCGUAACCCUCUUUUAUAGGGGAAUAAAGUGCGGGACGUGUCCGGUUUUGUAUGUACCUUAUGAAUAAGGGUCGGCUCACUCCGUGCCAACAGCCGCGGUACUACGGAGGGUCCGAGCGUUAUCCGGAUUUAUUGGGUGUAAAGGGUGCGUAGGCGGCCUGUUAAGUCAGAGGUGAAAGUAUGUGGCUCAACCAGAGAAUUGCCUUUGAUACUGGGAGCUUUGAGUAUGUGUGGGGCAGGCGGAAUGCGUG